UCAGAUUGAACGCUGGCGGAAUGCUUUACACAUGCAAGUCGAACGGCAGCACGGACUUCGGUCUGGUGGCGAGUGGCGAACGGGUGAGUAAUGUAUCGGAACGUGCCCAGUCGUGGGGGAUAACGUAGUGAAAAUUACGCUAAUACCGCAUACGAUCUAUGGAUGAAAGCGGGGGAUCGCAAGACCUCGCGCGAUUGGAGCGGCCGAUAUCAGAUUAGGUAGUUGGUGGGGUAAAGGCCCACCAAGCCAACGAUCUGUAGCUGGUCUGAGAGGACGACCAGCCACACUGGAACUGAGACACGGUCCAGACUCCUACGGGAGGCAGCAGUGGGGAAUUUUGGACAAUGGGCGCAAGCCUGAUCCAGCCAUUCCGCGUGCAGGAUGAAGGCCCUCGGGUUGUAAACUGCUUUUGUACAGAACGAAAAGGUUUCUACUAAUACUAGGAGCUCAUGACGGUACUGUAAGAAUAAGCACCGGCUAACUACGUGCCAGCAGCCGCGGUAAUACGUAGGGUGCAAGCGUUAAUCGGAAUUACUGGGCGUAAAGCGUGCGCAGGCGGUUAUAUAAGUCAGAUGUGAAAUCCCCGGGCUCAACCUGGGAACUGCAUUUGAGACUGUAUAGCUAGAGUACGGCAGAGGGGGAUGGAAUUCCGCGUGUAGCAGUGAAAUGCGUAGAUAUGCGGAGGAACACCGAUGGCGAAGGCAAUCCCCUGGGCCUGUACUGACGCUCAUGCACGAAAGCGUGGGGAGCAAACAGGAUUAGAUACCCUGGUAGUCCACGCCCUAAACGAUGUCAACUGGUUGUUGGGUCUUAACUGACUCAGUAACGAAGCUAACGCGUGAAGUUGACCGCCUGGGGAGUACGGCCGCAAGGUUGAAAC
rnacentral:rRNA from 1 species